rnacentral:rRNA from 1 species
AACGAACGCUGGCGGCGUGCCUAACACAUGCAAGUCGAACGAAACCUUCCGGUCUAGUGGCGCACGGCGGCGUAACGACGGGGAACCUGCCCGUAGGUUCCCAAUACCUCCCCGAAGGAGGUGCUAAUACCGGAUAGGGUCUUCCGGCAAAAGAUCUAUUGCCUUUGGAUGGGCGCGCGUUGGUUUAGCUGGUUGGUGGGGUAAAAGCCGACCAAGGGGACGAUAGAUGGCUGGUGAGAGAGAAUGGUCAGGCAGACUGGGACUGAGAGACGGCCCAGACUCGUACGGGAGGAGGGAGUAGGGAAUAUUGGAGAACGGGCGAAAGCCUGAUCAAGCAAGGCCGCGGGAGGGCUGCAGGCCGUAGGGUUGUAACUUUCGUUUACCCGGGAUGAUAAGGACAGUACCGGGAGAAUAAGGCACGGCUAACUUAGUG